rnacentral:rRNA from 1 species
UACGGGGGGGGCAAGCGUUGUUCGGAAUUACUGGGCGUAAAGGGCUCGUAGGCGGCCAACUAAGUCCGACGUGAAAUCCCAAGGCUUAACCUUGGAACUGCGUCGGAUACUGGAUGGCUUGAAUUCGGGAGAGGGAUGCAGAAUUCCAGGUGUAGCGGUGAAAUGCGUAGAUAUCUGGAGGAAUACCGGUGGCGAAGGCGGCAUCCUGGACCGACAUUACGCUGAUGAGCGAAAGCUAGGGGAGCAAACGGG